rnacentral:rRNA from 1 species
UAGUCGGCGCGUUCACAUGCGUCUCGGAUACUGGGCGUAAGCGUGCGUAGGUGGUCGUUUAAGUCCGUUGUGAAAGCCCUGGGCUCAACCUGGGAACUGCAGUGGAUACUGGGCGACUAGAAUGUGGUAGAGGGUAGCGGAAUUCCUGGUGUAGCAGUGAAAUGCGUAGAGAUCAGGAGGAACAUCCAUGGCGAAGGCAGCUACCUGGACCAACAUUGACACUGAGGCACGAAAGCGUGGGGAGCAAACAGGAUUAGAUACCCCGGUAGUCCA